rnacentral:rRNA from 1 species
UACGUAGGUGGCAAGCGUUGUCCGGAAUUAUUGGGCGUAAAGCGCGCGCAGGCGGUCUCUUAAGUCUGAUGUGAAAUCCCGUGGCUUAACCACGGGCGGUCAUUGGAAACUGGGGGACUUGAGUGCAGAAGAGAAGAGCGGAAUUCCACGUGUAGCGGUGAAAUGCGUAGAGAUGUGGAGGAACACUAGUGGCGAAGGCAGCUCUUUGGUCUGUAACUGACGCUGAGGCGCGAAAGCGUGGGGAGCGAACAGG